GAAAUGCCCAGAUUGCUUAAUACCCAUUCUAUGGGAGCAUGGAGGAGGGGCACUAAAGGUCAACCAGGAGAGAAGCAAGGACUUAUAAAAAUAGGUGUUCAGCAGGUAACAAGGAACAGAGAACGAAAUGUGAAGACUCACUGCUAUGUGAAAGACUGCAGCCCUUUCAAGGAACAUGCUCAGGGCAACUGGAGCCCAGAUGUGAUACCCGGAGCUGGUGCUCAUCGUCGGCGCCCUGGGGCUGUUGGUCAACGUGGUGGGGCUGCUCAUCUUCCAGGACUACGCCGCCUGGUUCUCGUGUUGCAGACGGGACCUCGGUCACCGCCUUCAGCAGCGUUAGCAGCUGGCAGAGGACUGCGCUCCCGGUGCUUCCCGGGGACCCCAGGGCCCAGAGGACCUGCGGCUCGCAUCGGCCCCAACAGCCCCCGGCUUGGACUCGGCCGUAACCCUUCGGGGGACCUCGGUGAAAAGAAAGCAGGAGAAGGGGGCGACCGUGUUCUCAAACAUAGCAGGAUUCUUCUUUGA
rnacentral:lncRNA from 1 species